rnacentral:tRNA from 1 species
GAAGUGAUAGUUUAAGUUAAAACACCAAGUUGCAAUCUUGGAGUUGGUGGUACCUCACUUUUC